AUUGAACGCUGGCGGCAUGCCUUACACAUGCAAGUCGAACGGCAGCACGGGUGCUUGCACCUGGUGGCGAGUGGCGAACGGGUGAGUAAUACAUCGGAACAGGUCCUGUAGUGGGGGAUAGCCCGGCGAAAGCCGGAUUAAUACCGCAUACGAUCUACGGAUGAAAGCGGGGGACCUUCGGGCCUCGCGCUAUAGGGUUGGCCGAUUGCUGAUUAGCUAGUUGGUGGGGGAAAGGCCUACCAAGGGGACGAUCAGUAGCUGGCCUGAGAGGCCGCCCAGCACCCUGGGGCCUGGGCCCCGCCCCACCCCCCGGCGGGGGGCACGGGUGGGGAUUUUUGGGAAAGGGGCGAAAGCCUGAUCCAGAAAUGCCGCGUGUGUGAAGAAGGCCUUCGGGUGUUAAAGCAUUUUUGCCCGGAAAGAAAUCCUUGGCUUUAAUGGAGUCGGGGGAUGCCGGUCCCGGAAGAAUAAGCCCCGGCUACCUCCUU
rnacentral:rRNA from 1 species